ensembl:lncRNA
GGAAAUUGUGAUUAUAUAAAGGCAACUUAUAUGAGGUUUUUCUCAACUAUGAACCUUCCCAAAUAUACUUGUUUUUGCAUUUCUCAUACAGAUUUGUGUCCUAUAAGCACAGAAUUUCUUUUUUUUAAUUUAAUUUUUUUUAGGAAGAUUAGCCCUGAGCUAACUGCUGCCGAUCCUCCUCUUUUUUGCUGAGGAAGACUGGCCCUGAGCUAACAUCCAUGCCCAUCUUCCUCUACUUUAUAUGUGGGACGCCUCCCACAGCAUGGCUUGCCAAGUGGGGCCAUGUCUGCACCUGAGAUUCGAACCAGCAAACCCUGGGCUGCCGAAGUGGAACAUGCGAACUUAACUGCUGUGACACUGGGCCAGCCCCCAGAAUUUCUGGUAGAUUACAUUGCAUACAAUUGUCAUCACAAAAGAAAAAAAUGCAUGGUAAAUUUAUAAUUUAUAUGUUAUAUUUUUAAGAACUUCCGUUUUGAUCAAAUGUUAAUACUCUUGCCUAAUUGUACAACUAAUGCCUAGGAAGAUUUUUCCCACAUUUAUUCUGGCCCUGUCGAUUUUAGAAUUGUUUUCCUUCCAGUACUCACAUAGUUAGGGGGCCAGGUAUCACAGGACACAUUCAUUGUGCAGAGCAUCUCUGAUUCUGCACAUCAGUGUCAGGAUGCCAGGACAGUUAGAUAAUGGGUGGAAGGAGGAUUCCUGGAGCCCAGAGCUACACACAGAGAGAAAGCAAUAACCUAAUGAUAUAUUGAAGUGAUUGCAAAUCAUGUAAAUACUACUGAAACCAAACUAAAUUAUCCUUGUAUCAGUUAUUUACUAAGGUGUAAAAAAUAAUAUAGCAGCUUAAAACAGUAAACUUUUUAUUGCCUAUAGUUCUGUGAGUCGGGUAUUUGGGGCUUAUGGGGACGGCUUGUCUCUGCUCUAUGUAGUGUCCAUAUAGGGUGACUUGAUUGGGGCUGGAAGACCAAAAGUGGCCUUACUCUCAAUAUUUGGGGCUUUGUUGCUGCUGUCAGACUGGGGCACCUUGAUUUUCCUCCAUGUGGUUUCUCUCUCCAUGUGUUAUCUCAUUCACUAUGUCCUCCCUCUCCAUAUGGCCUCAGUCAGAGUUCCAAUAUUCAAAGUGGAAGCUACAAGUCUUCUUACACUAGGGCUUUAAGAUUUUGCUUCUGCAGUAUUCUAUUGGUGAAAACAAGUCACAAGACCAGCCAGAUUCAAGGGAGUUAGGGAAAAUAGAUGCCACUUCUUGAUGGGAAGAGCAGUAUAGUGACGUUGCAAAGGAGCUUGAACAAAUGGAGGAGUGAUUUACUGGGGGCAUGUUUAACAACCCACCACUGUCCCCUACUCUGCUUCCUUCUAGCUGGAUUCCUGGAAUGAGUGCGACCACUGCAGUGCCACUUGACCUUAGGAGUGGUGUGACCCAGGGUAAGGAGACAGUGGUUUUAACCCAUCAUGGUUAAUAUAUCUUAGUUUUGGAAAGUAUAAAAAAUGCAUAACCAUGUGAAUAUACUUCUAGGCUUGGAGCAGAGCCUCAGAGCCUUGGAAAGAGCUUGUGCAAGUGAGGAGCCCUGAAUGACUAUUCAAGUUCGAGAAAAGAAAUCACAGACUAUCUUUUAGGAAGUCAGCAUCUCUUUUUCAUUUGAUUUAUGAGGCCUAAGACUCAGAAGUUUAUACUCAGCAUCCAAUAAUAACAACAUACUUAAUGUUUAUCUGUGUCUAGGCACUAGCAUCCAUUCUCUUAAUCAGGCCAAGAUUGAUAGAUUCUCUUUCUCUCCUACUCCAUAUUUAAUUAGUCUGCAAACUCCGUUGACUCAACUUUUAAAAGACACCCUCAAUUCAAACAUUUCUAAAGAAUUUUAGCAGUAACACAUUAAUCAAGCCACCAGCCUCUUUUGCUAGGACUCUUACAGUAGACUCCCAUAGGAUCCUCCUAAUCCGAUUCUCGCCUCUCUUAUUUUGUGCACAGUAGUCAGAGUGAAUUUUUUUGAAAGGUAAAUUAAAUCAUGUGACUUUUCUGCUUUCAUUAACUUCAGCUAACUCCUAGCACGUUGAAACAUACUUCAAAGCUGCUCUGCCCUGGUCUCUGACGGGCUGCCUCCCCGAUGUGAUUUUUCUACCAGUUUCUCUGUUAUUCUCUCUCUCGCUCAGGUCUUCCUUUAUCUUCUUAAACACCGCUACAACGUAAGAUCCUUGAGAACAGACAUUGUUGUUCAUCACCUUAUCCUCUGGACUGUGCCUGGCACAAGCAUUAAUGGGUAUAAAUCUUAAGAAGGCCUAAAAGCAUCAGCUUUUGUGCUUUGAGUCGUCCCAAGCUGCCGUGUAAGAAGUCUGGCUACCCUGCCAUAGAAAUCCUCAUGCAGAGAUGAUGGGGAGAGACCACAGGAAGAAGAAGAGAGACAGGAGAGGCCAUGCCAUCCCAGUAGCUGUCCCAGUUUUCCAAGUGAGCCUAGACUUCCAGCCAUUUCCACCGAGUCUCAGAUAUGUGAGCCCAUCUGCCACCUGACUGCAGCUUCAGCUUCGUUAUAGACCCUAAGAAGACCAGGAGAGAAACCAUAGAGCUGGGCCCCAGUGAGCCCACCGAACUGUGAGAAGUGACAACAUGGCCAUUGUUAUCAAGGAACACAAGCUCCCACUCAGUCACAAAAUGUUUGAGAAAACAGAGAAGAACUUCAUUGCACUGUGUGAUUUGUUUUUACAACUACCUGAAGUUGAACUUGAUGGGUGUAAUUUAUUGACUGUGAGUUUUGGUGAGAACUUCCAGAAAUCUACCAAAUAUUAGAACUUAUGGUGAAUGGCAACACGUGAAGAGCAGGCUGUUUAAGAAAAAGGACUUGCAAAACUGGAAGAUGAAAGUGAGAUCCUAAGAGCUGAGACAUUUAGGAUCAUAAACUACAACGUGGAGAUUUUGUUUAUUGAACAAGACAGCAGAUGAAAGACUCUUUGCA